GAGACUUUAAUUCUGUCAGCCAUUCUUCACUCUAGAAGAAGGUACUAGACUGUGAUUCUCGUACUACAAAGGGUACUGCUGGAGGGUUUAGUGGUGAAAAAGAUGGCUCCUGAAAGGGUAGCUGCUAUGUCUUAUAUUGUUAGCUUGGCUGCAACCUGCACUGGGACCUUCUAACUUUUCUGAGCUCCUCUUGUUUCUGAUUGUACUCUUUGCAUGUUUCAGAGGUGUUGAGCACAAGCUAAUCUGGCACAGCUCUAUCCCUUACUAUGUAAACAUUGGCUGCCUGUUGGGACCUCAGCUAUAGCCUUGCAUAAAGAAGCAGGUAAUGUUCAAGUGUGGUUUAAACAGACAGACACGGAGCUGUAGGGCAGCACUCUGCCACGCUUUUCAAGAGCAGCAUAAGAAGACCUGAGGUACAUGACCUGGCAGCUUGUACCAGACACCAAACAAACAGAAGCCCACAUGCUAGCCGAGAUUUGCCAUGACAUGCACUACUUCUCGAGGACUAAUGAAACUUGUACAUGGAAAUGUGCACGACUAUAGGCGAUUUAUGAUGGAGAAAACCAGCCUCCCUUAAUACUUGCCUCUUCUGCAGCUCUCCAAAUUUCUUAGAAGCCUCUUUGUUCCUCCUGCCUCUUCAAGCAAGAGCAGCAGAUGUUUCCUGUCUGUUUCUGGAAGGCGGAGAGCUUUGGGUUAGAAAUGAUCCCUAUUUAUUGAAGCAUGGAAGUUUGGUAUGUGCUAAGGAAGAAAAAUGGAAAGGUCCAAGACAAGCUACAAACAAGUACCUGAGCUGGGAGUACAAACUUUCCUGAUUCUCUUCAGCCAGGCCUCAUCACAGAGUUACAUGGAGACCAUGACAUGAAAGUCCUUUGGAAAAGCAAAGAUGCAGAGGAAGACAGUGAGGAAGAAAAAGCUGGUUGAUUGUUACACAGGCUUCAAAGGGUGAGACACUCACGUGCCCUGGAGAAACUGCCUCCAAGUCAAGCAGACACUGUUUUGUUAAGAGAAGCUGCAGCAGACAAGUGUGGGAAGAAGGGUCUGCUGGGGUUUCUCUCCCUUCUGCAGCAAGGGAAGUUAUGCUGACAGAGACAGCUGCUCUUACCACAGUGAUGCUUUGCUGUGGUUUGCAGUACUGGUCUAUGUCCUCCAGAAGUCCUAGUCAUAAAAUGGGCUUUGCUGUGGGUGGCACUGUACAAACACAAGAAGCUGGCCCUGCUCCAAAGACCUUGCAGUGUAGGUGUAACCAGGAAGCAGAAGACCCAAUGGAAGUGCAGAUCUGGGAGCAUAGCACAGCAGUUUUCUCAGCAUUUAACUGACACAGUGUUAAAAAAAUAAAAAAAAACCACCAAAAAAACCCAAAAACAAAAAAAACACCGCCCCAAAACAAAACGAAAGAAAAACAAAAACCAAAACCAACCAACUAACCAAAAAAACUCACAAAGAAAGUUUGAAGGAAGGAUUUGAAGAUAACAUGAUCCUGCACAAUUAUUUCUGAAAAACUCCUCCUGAGCAUGAAGAGCAGUGUAGCUAAGAUAUAUGUGUUACUAUUUCACCAUCUAACAGGAUGACAUUUGGCAAAAUUAGAAGAGACCAAGAUGGUAAGAGCUUGGAGAAGACUUUUAUCUAUAUGGAUAGUUGGGAAAAACUUUAUGCACUAAGCAUCAAGGCUCUGUAAUUUUUAUAUACAGCUAUUAGAGGACCUAUAGGGAAGUCUAAGCUGAAGAUAUCUGAAAUACUUGUUUGAGGAAUUAGCAAGAAGGCUGUAUUAUGACAGGGGACCUUGUGCAAGGUUAACUUGGAGAGAGAGAAGAGUGAGGAUAGUAACAUCUUUGUUUCAGCCACAAUGAUAUUCAGCUAGUGAUCCAGAGAGUGCUGUCAGAGAAAGGAUGAGCAUGUAUGUACUGAAGGAUGCAGGUGUUAGGGAACUGAAGUACUUUGUGUUGACCUGUGUACAUUAGAGGGAUUUAUUUUUGAAGUCAAAAGAGGUAAUAUCUGGGGCUGGAGAAAAACAACCAAAGACAGAGUCCCAAAGAAGUUGCAGUGUAGGUGUAAGAUUAGAGACUUCAGAUGCAGACAGAGGAGCACAAGGAAACAAAACACCUGACAGAAAUCUGGAAACUGGAGGUCAUAAUCACAGGAAUUUAUCCAUAGAGUCCUUACAAAGGCUGGCAGAUAUUAGAAAUAAAAGAUAAUGUUAAAUCCCAGUCAAGAAAGACCAGUGCAUCAUGAAUAGUGUUGCUGACUUUUGAGGUCAACUCAGAUGGUGUAUCUCAGAAAAAAUUCAGACAGAAGAGAUGGAAGCAAAUUUAGAAAGUACAUACCAGCAUCAUACAAAGGUGAGCAUAUUGAGAGUUGGUGGUAGUUAGGAAAAUGUUCUAUAAAGAAUAUAAGAAGGCUUUUUACAAACAGAAUAUCAUAACAUUUGAAGGAACAAACUGCAGCCAGAAAUCCAAUUCUCUCAUAAAUCAAAUACUCAUCACCAAAGUGGUCUUCUGUAUAUCGUUACAUGGCUAUACCCUUGUUGGUAAAUUUUGUUAUGCCUUUCUUACAUUUCCAGAGUUGUAUGUAAAAUGUUCAGAUUUUUGCCAAGACUCAGCACUUAUUAAUCUUGGUGUUUUGCUAAUAAUAAAUCCACUUUUUCCCACCUUAUUCUUAUAAGUGGACAAAAGCAAUUACUUCUGAGAAUUUACAGAGGUGUUAAAUAGAAAGUAUGGUUGAGAAUUAAUAGUUGUUUUCAUUACAACUACCCAUAAUUUUUAUUCCAGGAUGUGUUUAAUUGAAGCAAUAGCACUGUACUCCAAUGAACUGUACUAAUCCAGUAGAGGCAUUGGCUAUCUAAUAUUUUAAGAAAACAUGCAAUACAGAUUGCUUUCUAAGAGAAAAACCCAGUGACCUGUUACAAAAUAAUUUUGACAAAUACAAAAUGAUAAACUGCUUGGCACUUCUUAUCAGGCAAACUACUGCUUUAAACUCAUGUAUGGAUAAUGAAGUCACAGUCUGCACAGGAGCUUUCUUGACAGUAAGAUAAUAAAUACUGACAUGGAUAAAUUGUCAUGAGUUGAACAAAAAAAUCCCUGUCAAAUUAUCAUUUUGAUAAGGAUGGUGCAUUUGAUUAUAAUGAAAACAAAUGUGCUGGUGGCUCCUUGCAGCAGUAAUUUUGCUGUCCAAGAUGACAGAGUUAGUUCUGAGAAACUUUUUAAUUGUUUUAUCCACAUAAUGGCAAACUGAUCACUUUCAUGUCACUGGGCAAGGAAAUAAUCUUGACAACAAAAGCUAGAUUUCAUACCAGAGGUACCACUUUAAUUCUUUAUUUGUGGCAGCACAAAUGAAAAUAGUUGUAUAGCAUGAUGACUGGCACAGUGGGAUCCACAUUGUCCAUGUCUUUGAGCUGGAUAGGAGCAGAUACAGAGAGUAUGUACAGAUACAUGACGUGUGUUUAACACAAAAAUGUCUGCAGCACCCCUAAUAGUGUGGCUAUCUAAAAUAUUUUCCUUGAGCUGCUCAGAGGGUCUGCAAAUGAUACCUGGUUUCACUGUAGUUCACCAGAAUUGCCCCCAGUGUCUCAGCAGGUGUUUGUUACAUUCUUCACUGCCACCUAUCUCCAUGGCCACUAUGGAUGCAGUUGUAAUAGUUAGAGCUUCAUUCCCAAAUUAUCAAUCUUCCAGAGUUAAUCAAGUGGGAAGUAAAAAUGGCUGAAUGAUGGUGCCACAUCAAGAUUUUGUGUGCUCUUUGAAACAGAAGCAGAUUUGACUGAAUAUUUGUUUAAUAACUUAAUUAGAUCUGGUUAAAUCUUUACUUUGAGGGUUGCACUGGGUGACCCUAAGCUCAGAGCAUGAAACAUGAAAGCAAAUUGUGUCUGUCUUGGAUUUUUGUGGGCAGCACUACAUCAAAUAAAGAGCAGUGGCUUGAAGGGCAUAACCUAUUGAUCAUUCACCUGAACGAGAUUAAACUAAACAGAUUGAACUAAAUUAUUUAAUUGUAAUUUUUAAAUCAAAGUUACGAAUUUGAAACUUAAUGGUGGUCAUGCAGUUCAUAAAAAUGAUAAGAAUCAAAUUACCCUAGUUCCAAAAACUAAUGUUAAAAAUCAAGGUACCUAAGUGGCAUGUGUUUUUUUAUACGCUGCAUACUAUUUGGAAAACACAGGAAUAUAUUUUGGAUUGCAUGUAUAGAGAAAAAUUUUGUUUGAUACCUUAUUUCACUGAAUAUUUCAGAUAAUUUUCUCAAAACCACAGUUGAUUAUAUUUAUGUUUGUAUAUUUAUAUUAAUUUAUAUCCAUUUAUAUAUAAUUUAUAUUAAUUUAAUUUCAAAAAGUGCUUUGCUUAUGCUACACCUUUGUUUGGUUUUAGUAAUAUCAGCAGAUGAAGAGACUGACCAAUUUCUUUGUCAUUUGGCAUGUUACAUUGCUACUGAAACUUUUCAACACUGAACAUUUCACUGAUUCCCUUUUCUCUGCCAUCUGUCUGAUCUGGCCUCUUUCCAAAUAAUGCUGCUUUCCCAAUGGACAUGGUUGUCCUGGUACAAGAGUUUUCAGUCAGGGUAAGGAAAAUUCACAUUCUUUUCUGUUGCUUCUUUGAUAUUGCAUAUAAAUAUUGAAUGGCCAUAUAAACUGUACAGUUUGUAGAUUCUAAGAUGCAUGCUAAAAAUAUCUGUUUGUCACAAACUCUGACUUGUGCUGUAUUUUAUUGAAAACCUGACUCUGUUAAAAAUAUUUGGUUUUCUUUCUUUAUGUUCUGUGUAAGUUUGCUUAUUUUGACAAUUACUUUAUUACAGUACCUGAAGAACCAAUGUUUUGAAGUUUGGUUGGCUGGUUAAAAAAUGCAAAGUUCCAGAUUACACACAGCAUUGCAGAAAUGUUAAUUCAGCAUUUUGGAAAUAGUUGUCUUCUUUUAGAAGUUCAACACGAAAUGUCUUAGGAAAGAUAGUCUACUUUAGAAGCUGAGCACUUAGGCAUGUACCAUUUAAUAGACUGUCAAGUUGGGCACAAAAUCACUAAUAUCUUCUUGACCAAUAUCUUAGGAGGUCUAGAUUUAUUUAAAUUAUGUGUUGUGGUUAUAUAUUGAUUAUGGUAUUAUAUCAUAUCUAAGGACACCAACAGAGAAAUUACAUCCUACAGAUCUAAAAAAUGCAAUGCAUCAUUAAAAAUACAUAUGAGGAAGCAUUGUAUUUUUAUGUGCACAAGUGCAUUAACUGUUGAAAAGGCAGAGAGGUUUCGUUUCACCUUCUUCCCUUACGCUAGAAUCACUUUCAUGCUAGUAAUUAAACAGUGUGUUUUACCGUGAGCAGUUGUAAUAAAAUCUACCAGACACUGACAACUUCUUUUAGGAGGAGCAUAUCACAUUAUAUUUUGAACUAUGUGGAUUAUCUCUGAAGAGUGUUAGAAUUUAUUGUUGGACAGUUAACUCUGGGUAUACCAGAAUACAUUUCACAAGCUUCACUUUUUCUUUAAGAGAGAGAAAUGUCUUAGGUUACCUGUAGUCCUGGUUUCAAGAAGAGAUUUUCAUCCAUUCAACUGAAAGAGUGAACCUUUGGCUUUCAGGAUCUGUUGCUGUGUCAGUCACUUCCAGCUCCUGACUAGGAUCUUGAAACAGCUGUCUUCUCUGGCAGGGAGCUGCAGGGCCAGCACUGAGCCCUGGCUGCUGGGACAGCACGCUGUGACUUCACUCCUUGGUUUGACAAUACACACGGAGGGCAGCUGAAAGGUGUCAGCACUAUUUAAGUCUCCCCUAGGCCAUAACUUGAACACUUGCAUUUCAUUUAUAUAAAGGCCCUUUUCCAGCUCCCUGGCAGUACAAAUGUUGCAUUCCCUUACCCUGUUCUGAACUGCAAGUGUGGGAGUAGUGAGUGUAAGCAUGUCUUCAUCUUUUGACCUGUGCUGAUACACUGAAAGACUGACUGGUAACUGGCAAAAAAGGAGAGUCAGGAAUCUCUGAAAUCAAGGCAGCCAAGGACAGCAAUUUCAUUCCAAAGGCAGAUUCCAAAAUUGAUAAAACUGACAUGUUAAAAAACUUCUACUGAAGUUUCUACCUUAAUAAUUUAAAAAGUCUCCCAAGAUAAAUAGAAAACAUUAAUUUUCUAGGUUUCAUGUGGCAUUUCAGAAAGUGUAUUUUCUACUUCAGUGUAGGUUUCUAUUACAAGAAAGCUCUUUCUAUCUUUUGGGGGCUACCAAGUUCAGCACAUAAAACAAUUGUUUUUUAGUUUAUUUAUACGUUUAUAAUUUUUCUAGUGUUGCUGUGAGUUUUUAUUACACUAUUUGAAAGUUCUCCAGUGAUCAGCAUUCAAUGCAAUCGUCUGGAAUUGUGUCUGGAUUCCAUUUUGUGCAAUUAUGAUAUUGGUUUACCAUAUUUUCUUUACUAAGCAGACACUCAGCACUCAUAGUGCAGGGUGUAGCUUUAUAACCAGUUAUUACUCUGGUAAGCUAUUUUUAAAAAACCCACUAGACUUUAACUUGCAUGAAAACAAACAUAUUCUCAUGUAAAUUCCUGAAGAGAAAACUGACAGAUUAACAAGUAUGAAAACAGGGAGUCUGCUCUCUUCACCAAAGUUUGCCCAAACGCUGGGAAGCAGCUGAACUACUGGAUAAUAUUAAUACCUUGUUUUUACUGUGAAACAGAUGUAUGCUGCCAGAUCUUUUUCCUGUGGGGAAAAAAAGAAUACAAAACAACAACAAACACACUGACCCUCUUCACAUCCCAAACGUAGCAUGUUAUAUAUGAUAGAUAUAAAUAGAGUGUGAUUGUUUUCAAAUGUCAGCUAGCAAAUUUCCCAUCAGUUCUUGUGAGCUGAGGCUCAGCCCUUCUAUUUAAUGAAAGAUUCACUGUUACUUAAUUAUAUGCAUGUUGUCAGAAAACAGUUUUUCUGAUCAGAACAUAGAAAUCAGAUUGUGAUGUUAAGGAUAUUGUUUUGUUGCAGAUAGUGUUUUUUGGAUUAAAACUGUUGACCCUGAGCCCUGUUUUGACUCAGUUGUUAAAAAUAGAAAAUAGACUUAUGCGUGGAAUUUAUUUUAAAGUAUUGUGAUUUUUUUUUUUAAGAGACAGAGAUGUUUGGAGAGGGCAAAAUCUGGAUAAUAGUAUUUUUGUAACAAAUGAAAAAUGUUUGCUACUGCUUGUUGCUUUUUUAGACUCUUAAUUUCCACAUUAAUCUGAGAAUUGAUUAAUCUGUAGCAUUAGAUAUAUAUCUAUUAGAUA